UACAGAGGGUGCGAGCGUUGUUCGGAAUUAUUGGGCGUAAAGGGCGCGUAGGCGGUGCGGUAAGUCACCUGUGAAAUCUCCUGGCUCAACUGGGAGCUUGCAGGCGAAACUGCCGUGCUGGAGUGUGGGAGAGGUGUGUGGAAUUCCCGGUGUAGCGGUGAAAUGCGCAGAUAUCAGGAAGAACACCCGUGGCUAAGGCGGCUCUCUAGUACGGUACUGACGCUGAGACGCGAAAGCGUGGGGAGCGAACAGG
rnacentral:rRNA from 1 species